rfam:Pteropus alecto contig87078, whole genome shotgun sequence.
GGUUCCAUAGUAUAGAGGUUAGCAUGUCUGCUUUACAUGCAAAAGAUCCUGGGUUUGCACCCCAGUGGAGCCA